AUGAAUGUUGAUGCUGCAGCUCUAGCGGCUCAAGUUUCAAUCAAGCAUGGACUCCCGGAGAUUGAAAUAUACUGCUACCUGCUUGUGUUGAUUUUCCUUACAGAUCACAAGAAAUAUGAUGAGGUUAAAGCAUGUGCAAACGCUAGCAUUACUCGUUUGAAGAAUCUCAACAGGAGGACUGUUGAUGUUUUGGCUUCUAGGCUGUAUUCAUAUUACUCAUAUGUCCAUGAACUCACCAACAGCCUUGCUAAAAUUUGUGGGAGAUGUGUGCGGACGAUCACGUGUUGCAGCGGACGUUCAACUGCUACAUGUGCUCGACGGCGGCCGUCGUGUCAUCGGGUACGUACGUCCUUAUACAACUUCUUUUGCACGAGUUCUACUCGCUUCUUGCGCAUGUGCCCUGCCUGA
rnacentral:rRNA from 1 species